GAGACCUAUUAUUAGAUCCCCGCACAUGUACUUAAUGAUUAUAGGAAGGCCUCGGGAGUUCAUAUUUGUUUAAUGCAUUUUUAUUAGGCCGUAUCUGUAAAAGAAGUACGAGUAUCCUUGUCCGUACUAUAAGGUUCAUGAUUUGGUUUUCACAUAAAGAUAGAGGUUGAAUACCCUGGCUAGAUCACCUAAGUGCCUUAUGUUCCGACCUUGGUUGACCUAUAGUCACGAUGCAGUCACGUUAUAUGGUUCA
rnacentral:lncRNA from 1 species